AGUCGAGCGGGGUUACUGUGGUGGAACCCUUCGGGGUGAAACUGCUUUAACCUAGCGGCGGACGGGUGAGUAACGCGUGGGUAACCUGCCCUAAAGACCGGGAUAACAGCGGGAAACCGCUGCUAAUACCGGAUACCUUUACUGGGGGGCAUCCUCUGGUAAAGAAAGGAGCAAUCCGCUUUAGGAUGGGCCCGCGUCCCAUUAGCUAGUUGGUGAGGUAACGGCUCACCAAGGCGACGAUGGGUAGCCGGCCUGAGAGGGUGAACGGCCACACUGGGACUGAGACACGGCCCAGACUCCUACGGGAGGCAGCAGUAGGGAAUCUUGCGCAAUGGGCGAAAGCCUGACGCAGCGACGCCGCGUGAGCGAAGAAGGCCUUCGGGUCGUAAAGCUCUGUCCUCAGGGAAGAAGGAAGUGACGGUACCUGAGGAGGAAGCCCCGGCUAACUACGUGCCAGCAGCCGCGGUAAUACGUAGGGGGCGAGCGUUGUCCGGAAUUACUGGGCGUAAAGGGUGCGUAGGCGGCCCUUUAAGUCGGGUGUGAAAGUCCACGGCUUAACCGUGGGAUUGCACUCGAAACUGGAGGGCUUGAGUGUCGGAGAGGGUAGUGGAAUUCCCGGUGUAGCGGUGAAAUGCGUA
rnacentral:rRNA from 1 species